rnacentral:rRNA from 1 species
UACGAAGGGGGGCUAGCGUUGCUCGGAAUCACUGGGCGUAAAGCGCACGUAGGCGGCUUUUUAAGUCAGGGGUGAAAUCCUGGAGCUCAACUCCAGAACUGCCUUUGAUACUGAGAGCUUGAGUCCGGGAGAGGUGAGUGGAACUGCGAGUGUAGAGGUGAAAUUCGUAGAUAUUCGCAAGAACACCAGUGGCGAAGGCGGCUCACUGGCCCGGUACUGACGCUGAGAUGCGAAAGCGUGGGGAGCAAACAGG